GACGAACGCUGGCGGCAGGCUUAACACAUGCAAGUCGAGCGCGUAGCAAUACGAGCGGCAGACGGGUGAGUAACGCGUGGGAAUCUACCUUUUGCUACGGAAUAACUCAGGGAGACUUGUGCUAAUACCGUAUGUGCCCUUUUGGGGAAAGAUUUAUCGGCAAGAGAUGAGCCCGCGUUGGAUUAGGUAGUUGGUGGGGUAAUGGCCUACCAAGCCGACGAUCCAUAGCUGGUCUGAGAGGAUGAUCAGCCACAUUGGGACUGAGACACGGCCCAAACUCCUACGGGAGGCAGCAGUGGGGAAUAUUGGACAAUGGGCGCAAGCCUGAUCCAGCCAUGCCGCGUGAGUGAUGAAGGCCCUAGGGUUGUAAAGCUCUUUCACCGGUGAAGAUAAUGACGGUAACCGGAGAAGAAGCCCCGGCUAACUUCGUGCCAGCAGCCGCAGUAA
rnacentral:rRNA from 1 species